CUGCUAGGUAUUAUUAUAGGAAAGAGAAUCAUUCCGAUUUUUACUUCCUCACCAAAUAUAUACUGAGAACCUACUAUCUUCCAGAACCCAAUCAGAUUCCACCUGAUCUCCCUGUGGACUGCAGUGAUCCAUCACCUCAUCAGGACACACAGACAGAUGCACAGGUGCGUGGGCACAGCAGAAUCACAAGAAGGAUCCCACUGGCUAACUGGACCUGAACUCAAAACCCAGCCUGAGAGCCAUUUGCUGACUGAAGGGCCGCACCCGGGGCCUCUCCAUUCCUGAAAGGACACAUAGUGGGCUUCACCUGGAUACUGUGUCACUGCCCCAGAUGCCAAAAUGAAUGGUCCCAGAAGUUCUCAGGUUUUUAUUGUUUUCUUUUUGCUGCUUGGACAAACAAUGAGCUAGAAGCCCUCCCCUUUUAUCUUGAAUUCUCCCCUCCUGAACUUCUGCUACCACAGUGAUAGUUUCACCACUUUGCUAGUCAGCUCACCACUCCUGGACACUGAAUUCAAUCUGACUUUACCAGGCUCUCAGGCCUGCCCCAGGAUUUGGAUGUUAACCUAACAUGACUUACAAGUCUGAGUCCUGCAGGCAGACCUGCUCUGUCUUCAGGCACCAAGUUGCCCUGCAGGACUCCGAGCAGUGGUUCCACUGCCUGAUCACGUGUGUCUUGAACACACCAAGGAAUGGAACAUUACAAAGAAGACUCAAGCCUCAGCCAGAGUUCCAGGGCCUCACAGGGCUGUUUCCACUGAGAUACGAGUCCAGUGACUACCAGCUCCCAGAUCACAUGGCAAAAUAAAUUCCUUCUCCAGAGAAGAUGACCAUUAAGUCAGGUGAGGGAACCACAGGCUUUCUCUCUGAAAGCCACAUCCUGAAAACA
rnacentral:lncRNA from 1 species